GACGGGGGGGGGCAAGUGUUCUUCGGAAUGACUGGGCGUAAAGGGCACGUAGGCGGUGAAUCGGGUUGAAAGUGAAAGUCGCCAAAAAGUGGCGGAAUGCUCUCGAAACCAAUUCACUUGAGUGAGACAGAGGAGAGUGGAAUUUCGUGUGUAGGGGUGAAAUCCGUAAAUAUACGAAGGAACGCCAAAAGCGAAGGCAGCUCUCUGGGUCCCUAACCGACGCUGGGGUGCGAAAGCAUGGGGAGCGAACAGG
rnacentral:rRNA from 1 species